rnacentral:rRNA from 1 species
GACGAACGCUGGCGGCGUGCUUAACACAUGCAAGUCGAACGGAAAGGCCCUGCUUUUGUGGGGUGCUCGAGUGGCGAACGGGUGAGUAACACGUGAGUAACCUGCCCUUGACUUUGGGAUAACUUCAGGAAACUGGGGCUAAUACCGGAUAGGAGCUCCUGCUGCAUGGUGGGGGUUGGAAAGUUUCGGCGGUUGGGGAUGGACUCGCGGCUUAUCAGCUUGUUGGUGGGGUAGUGGCUUACCAAGGCUUUGACGGGUAGCCGGCCUGAGAGGGUGACCGGCCACAUUGGGACUGAGAUACGGCCCAGACUCCUACGGGAGGCAGCAGUGGGGAAUAUUGCACAAUGGGCGGAAGCCGGAUGCAGCAACGCCGCGUGCGGGAUGACGGCCUUCGGGUGGUAAACCGCUUUCGCCUGUGACGAAGCGUGAGUGACGGUAAUGGGUAAAGAAGCACCGGCUAACUACGU